CACUCAAGAACAAUCUCUUGGAUCAAAUCGGCCGAUCCAAAGUUUCUGUCUCUCUUUCUCUCUUGAAUUUUUUCUGUGUUUCUCUCUGUGUGGAAUGAGUAAAAACCGACCAGAAUGAUCAGAAAUGAGAGAGAGAAGACGAUUUAAACUGUCCCCAACCGCCUGGGCGAACAGUUACCAAAAUCCCUUCCUUUCUUCCCAAAACCGUCCCAUAACCGUCCCAUAACCGCCCUUGGCGGUUUCUCCCCUUUUCUUCCUUUGGCAAAUCGAUCACUGAGCCUCAGCUCACACUCUGGGAGCUUGCCCGCUCCCUAUCCCAAGCCUAAGACCCAUUUGGUCGAACCGUCCUGCACCCGGACCAUCGGCUCGCCCAGUAACCGUCCCGGACUCGCCCACACUGAUCCGAACCAGAACGCACCGUUCACUGGAUUGAGCUGACCCCCAGCUGUUCCCAGCUGAUUGAGCUAGCCCACCAGCUCCUGUGAGCUGAACAGAUCAUGGUGAACUGAUUACCAGCUGAACCGAGCUGAUUGAACUCAAACCAACACUCGUCCAGCUGCCUAAACACUCACCCAGCCCCUUUACCCUUAUUUCCAUCGUAUCCUGGUUAAGUCUCUGCUGACUGAUGCCCUUAACCUUCAUUCAGGGCCAUGAUA
rnacentral:lncRNA from 1 species